CAGAAAUAUACUGUACUUAAAAUUGCACUUACUUGACUUAUACUGACAGAAAAGUCUAAGUAUAUUUGGACUAGGCUACUUGUACUCAAUCUUUUGAUCGAGAUAUACUUAAAAAUAUAAGCAUUCUACUUCUAGUUGUGUUUAAUCUUUUGAUUGAGUAGCCUAUUACAUUUUUUUCCACAUAGUUUUAAAUAAGCUACUGUCUUAUAAACUUACAUUGUUUGAAAAUAUUGAUUUAUAAAGAAAACAGAUACGUUCCUAAUUCUGAGUAUCUGAAUUUUUGUGUAGGCUAGAUCACUGGUAGUGAACAUAGGAAUUUACUUCAAAUCUAUACUUCACUCACCGCCAUUGACUACAUUUAACGGCUAUCCAUGUUUUCACUGUUACACGGUAGGGGGCGCUAUAAAGCAUCUUCUAAAAGAGUACAGAAUCUCCGGGUCAAAACACAGGUAAAGAAGAAGCAGAAACAAGCGAAAGAAGGGCCCUGUACCAAAUGGCACCCUAAACACUCACAGGGUGCUUCUCAUUUCUUAUUUGUGCACCCUCAUUUCCUUUCCUCGCUUUCUUUCCUCAUGUCUCAGCUCCACUCCCAUAGGAUGUGAGGGGAGGAUGCAUGGAAAGAAAAUGAGGACGGAGGAAUCAAAGGAAAUGUUAUUUGUAUAUUGGAAUGUUCUUGAUCACUCAAUUGUCACUUAAAAGCUUCAUCAGCUGCGCUCAAGGGAUCUGCCCUCUUGUUGUUAAAGUUUGGUUAUUUAAAAAAUUCAUAAUAUUAAUAAUGCAAGAUGCCCUGUUGAAAUAUGUGAUGCAAAAAGUAAAGCACACAUUUAAAUUAUUGUGACAGAUGUGAAGGGGGAGGAGAACGUGCGUCAGGUUUCUUGACGAGAAAGAAUUACGCAAAGGAUACACCUGUGUGUCCUCGCUCAUGACAACUCAGGAAGCUUCCUCACUCCUCGUUUCUCACCUCCUCGCAGUGCAAUUAGAGAAUUGAGAUGUCCUUUAAAAUGGCUGAGUUUGAUCGGUUUGCUGUGAGAGCUGAACGAGGCCGCUGGAGCGAUUACUAAUGAGAGAUGAGCACGAGACACACCUCGAGAGCAGCGGAACUUGUAUUAUUGCCGCUUCCGCUUCUUCCGGUCAAGCGUAUGUGGGAUGCUUCUGUCCUUUUUGUAGAGAACUGAACUACUGUGCCCCAGACAUACACAGAGAGACAGUCCAUAGCAAAAACAAACCUCUCACAAGAGAGCUAUUCAUUCAGAUCAUGCGCCACAAUGGCUCAGACUAAAUACUUGGGGUUUCGAGUCUGACGACAGCACGAGGGCGUGGCUUGUUCGCAAGGUCAAGGAUCAUGCGCCGUUUACAUGCCCCGAAAAGACGGCGAAACAGCCCCAGAGAAACAACGUCGAUCUAGGUUACUUAAAGGUCCUUUGUUUCCUGUGCAUAAUGGCAGAGGCAGACCAGACCAGAAAUACUCUAGAAUGGCUCCCUGGUUGUUUUAAAGUGCUGAACAUCUAAAAAAACACUGUGUCUGGCUUCGUCACCAAUAAAUCGGACCUCAGCACUGUACGAGAAUGCCACAAGAGAGAAACACUGACAUUUUUCAUUGUUUGGUCUGAUGAUAAAAGAAAGAAAGAAAAAGGGCCACAUCGUCUGGUUUGGCAGGUGGAAGAUUUAUCAGAGAAUGUACCACUUACCACACGUACCACCUACCUAAGCAUUGUUGCAGACCAUGUACACCCUUUUAUGGAAACGGUAUUCCCUGGUGGCUAUGGCCUCUUUCAGCAGGAUAAUGCCUCUGCCACAAAGCAAAAAUGGUUCAGGAAUGGUUUGAGGAGCACAACGAGUUUGAGGAGGUAUAUGGCUGUGAGGUACAGUCAUACUAAUGAAUUGGGAGGAUUCUGGGAAUAUGGUGGUCUCUGCUCUGCACCACAAAAAGAUGCCAGCAGUUGGGGGGCUUUUGUACUACUGAAUGCUCUUGCCCUGACGAGAGGCAUCAGUCCAAGCCAUCUGACACAACGCCAUGCAGUGGAAAUGAGGAAGUUUGUGUACCACAAACUCAAACAAAAUGCAUUAUGUUAAAGGUUUAGGUAACCCAAAAAUGAAAAUUCUGUCAUUAAUUACUCGCCCUCAUGUCGUUUUAUACCCAUAAGACCAUCGUUCAUCUUCAGAACACAAAUUAAGAUAUUUUUGAUAAAAUCGGAGAGGUUUCUGAUUCCCAAGAGAAAGCAACAUAAUUACCACAUUCAUAGAUGCAAACUCCUCACCUUUCAGUGACAACUCACCUUUUUGAGAUCAAAAUGGGUCACUUAUGGGAUUUGCAUAGAUCCAAUGUUUUUAUGGGGUGGGGGGGUCUGAGAUGUGGGAACGGUGAAGAGAGAGAGGGCAAACAGUUAGCAGUUUAGCUCAGUAUUGCCGUCUAAUCAGCCAACAUUGUCUUAAAUAGCCAUAGCACUUCAUCUUUUUAUAACAUGAGGUUUUGACCAAAUGUAGCCUAUUCAAUCUUGAUUUUGGUGAAAUGUUGCAACAUUUUUUUGUGUGUGUGAAAUUACAGUUUUGGACAUACAUGGUAAUAACAAAUAAAUUAAAAAAUCAAAGUAACUACAAAUGAGCAUGUAAAGCAAAUAUCUUUAAAAAAAAUUAUGUUCGGAGCAUGCCCCCGCCCUAAUGUUCUCACUUUUUUUCCCCCUUACCUGUUUGCAUCCCUGAGGUCCAGAGAAGUAGUAAAAACAUAAUAGAAAUAAAAACUAAAAUAGUCAAUGUGACUACAGUGGUUCAACCUUAAUGUUAUGAAACAAAAAUAAUGACUUUAUUUAAUUUCUUCUCUUACCUGUCCUACUCUGUUUACGUUGUAGAGACAGAGAAGUGUUUCCGGGUUCUACAUCAGAACGCCAGCUCAUAAUUGGUCUGCCUCAGUAUCACACACAUGCGUUGUGUUGCUCAUGUGAAGAACAUCGGCCAAAUUGAGAUUCGCGUUCUGACGUAUAACCUGGAAGCGCUGCACUGUCUCUACAACUGUCUCUGUAAUUAAUAACACAAAUUUCACUUUUGGGUGAACUAACCCGUUAAUGUUUGUUCUUUUCUUCCCUUGGGUGCUUUCCCUACUUUUUACUUUCUCUUUCAUAGUGUCACAGCACCUGACUCUGUGUUUACCGUUACGUCAUUGACCCCAUCUCCAAUGUGUUUGCUGCACCGUGGCAUAAAAUUGGAGUCAAGACGCCACUCGCGAGGCCUUCUGUUGUUGUGUUAUAGCCUCUGUCUGUGUUUUCUAGGGACUACAGUGUAGACCCUGUGAGAUUAGAUUAGCAUGUUCCCAGUUUGUGUAACUGUACUCUUGUGUAUCUGUAAUCAUUCAUCUUGCCUCUCAUGUCCCUUGACCAAUUCUCCUCCCCUUCCCAAUUUGUUACUCAUUUGUAAUUUGUAAUAACUUUUUUUGCAUAUGUGUAAAUAGUAUAUUUUCUUUUUUAUUUCUAUUUCUUCAUUGUAAACACAUUUUCCCCUUCUCAUGCUAUUUUCAUACCCUUACAUAUUGUAAAUAAAUCAUUUGCUUGUUCA